CUGUCGGAGAAACUUCCAAUCUCCGCCGUCCAUUCUUAUCAACGCCUUCAGAUUACCAUCGUCCAUUUCCCCUUCUCAGCGUCUCAUUAUUUGACCUCUGAUUGACAAAAACAAAUAUCUCUCGUGUUUUUCUCACUUCUUGUCGGAAGCUCUCUCUCCUCAUCUCACCGCCGGCGUUACCCCCGGAUCGCCGGUGAUUUUGUUUGAGCUGCUAUCGAUUGUUGAUUUCAACACUUUACCGGAGAUAAAGAGUUUGACUUUUUGUUCUUAGAUUUAGCUUUUUUAUUUAUUUUAUUUUACGUUUCCAUGGCUGUACGAUUAGGUUUGGGGAUAAAAAGAGUAACUUUUGGUUUGUUGUUGUGAAAUGAAGAGACUUUGAAUAGACAAAUUAGGCGACUUUGUAGGGACACUGUACCGAAACCCUAAGCUCUGGUUUGGCCAUGGAAGUAUCAUAGCACUUUCUCUUUUCUGGGUUUUAUUUGUCUUAAUCUUUUGUAUAACCCCCUUUUUUAAUGUUUUGUUAGUGGAAAAUUAGUUUCUUUGAUUAGAUUUUUUUUGUGGGUUUAUCUGUAAUCAUGGAUUUGAACGGAGAGUGUAAGGGAGGAGGAGGAGAUGGGUUCAUUGACAGAAGCAGAGUUAGGAUUCUGCUUUGUGACAAUGAUCCCAAUAGCUUGGGAGAGGUUUUCACCCUCCUUUCACAGUGUUCUUAUCAAGUGACGUCAGUGAAAUCAGCAAGGCAGGUGAUUGAUGCACUAAAUGCAGAGGGGCCUGACAUCGAUAUAAUACUGGCGGAGAUUGAUCUCCCAAUGGCCAAGGGUAUGAAGAUGCUGAGGUACAUCACGCGUGACAAAGAUCUUCGGAGAAUCCCUGUCAUCAUGAUGUCGAGGCAAGACGAGGUCCCUGUGGUGGUAAAGUGCUUGAAGCUAGGUGCAGCGGACUACCUUGUUAAGCCUCUUCGGACCAACGAGCUUCUCAACUUGUGGACACACAUGUGGAGAAGAAGACGCAUGCUAGGACUUGCUGAGAAGAAUAUGUUGAGCUAUGAGUUUGAUCUGGUGGGAUCUGAUCCAAGUGAUCCAAACACAAACAGUACCAACCUCUUCUCUGAUGACACAGAUGAUAUUAGGUCCACCAAUCCACAAAGAGGAAGCCAUCAGGAAAAGGAGUGGCCUGUUGCUACUGGUUCCUUUGUGCUAGCGAUGGUGCUGCUGAUGGCACAGCCACGUCAACUCCUCCUGCUGCUGUCAUAGAGCCUCCUUUGAAUCAUCUUCCUGAGCCUCACCAUGAGCCUACUAAAAGAAAAACUAAUCCAGCGCAAUUUUCUUCAGUACCAAAGAAGAGUAGAUUGAAGAUUGGAGAGUCCUCCGCUUUCUUCACAUAUGUCAAGUCUACCGUCAAUGGAAAUGGUUCAGUUCAUCCGGGUAUUGCGGAGAAGCUUCAAGUGGUGGCCAGUGAGGUUAACAACAACGGGAAGCAAACAAGAGGAGGUAGAGAGACUGAGAAAAACAAAGCUCAAGGAGAGAACUCAGUGAACGGCACGCUUGAGCGGUCACGCACGCUUCCAACACCAAUGGAACUUCAUGGUAGUAGGAGCUACCAAGAAGUUCCAAAUUCCAUUGAGCGGUCACGCACGCUUCCACCACCAAUGGAGCUUCAGGGUAAUAGGAGCUGUUACCAAGAAGGAACUAUGGAUGAUGCCCGGGUUGCUGCUGCUAAGGAUUCAUCUCAGUUCGCUGCGCAAAACGCCUAUCCUUACUACAUGCAUGGGGUCAUGAACCAAGUUAUGAUGCAAUCAGCAGCCAUGAUGCCUCAGUAUGGUCAUCAUCAACAUCCUCAUUGCCCACCUAAUCAUCUGAAUGGCAUGACAGGGUUUCCUUAUUACCACCACCACCCCAUGAACACAUCGUUACAGAACGGUCAUGUGCCUUUACAGAACGGUCAGAUGCCUCCUAUGGUCCAUCAUCAUCAUUCUUGGCCACAGGUGGGAAACCACCCGUCUCCUAACGAGGUGAGAGUGACUAAACUCGACAGAAGAGAGGAAGCUUUGCUUAAAUUUAGACGAAAGAGGAACCAAAGGUGUUUUGAUAAGAAGAUUAGGUAUGUGAAUAGGAAGCGCCUUGCUGAGAGGAGACCGCGUGUUAAGGGUCAGUUUGUUAGGAAGAUGAACGGUGUAAAUGUUGACUUGAACGGGCAGCCUGAGCCUGACUCUGCUGACUAUGAUGACGAGGAAGAGGAGGAUGAAGAAGAAGAGGAGAAUCGGGACUCGUCUCCUCAGGAUGAUGCUCUUGGAACUUGAGAAACAACCUUGUUUGGUUUUAUGAUGAGAAACUUUGCUUGAUGAUGAUGAUCUAUUGACACGGAAGGAAUGAUGCUGCUGCUCAUGUUGGCUUAGCAGAGCAUUGAAAAUCACUAUGUAGGUGUGGCUUAGUUCGUUGAUAAAACAUAAGAUGUGUUUGAUCUUGUUCACUCACAUUCAGUGAGUUAUGUAUAAAACCUUUCUUCUCCUUCCAGCAUUUUCCUUGGAUUUUAUUUUUCCUUUUGUUCCCUCGUCUGUUUUAACAUGUAUGAUCACUUCAUGGAAAGGUAUAAAGGGACGUGUUCCAUGA